GAUAUGGCUCAGGACGAACGCUGGCGGCGUGCCUAAUACAUGCAAGUAGAACGCACAGUUUAUACCGUAGCUUGCUACACCAUAGACUGUGAGUUGCGAACGGGUGAGUAACGCGUAGGUAACCUGCCUGGUAGCGGGGGAUAACUAUUGGAAACGAUAGCUAAUACCGCAUAAUAUUAAUUAUUGCAUGAUAAUUAAUUGAAAGGUGCAAUUGCACCACUACCAGAUGG
rnacentral:rRNA from 1 species